CCGUAUUGAAGUGAUUCAGCUAGAAAUUGAUAAUCUUCAUUUUAACACUGCUCUGAGUUAAUGGCUGCUCUUGAAAAGGUAUUGAAUCCACCUGGAAUUUCCUUGUGUUUAUGGUUCAAGCUGUUCGUGAGUAUUAUACCACUUGACGACUGAGGCAGAAUCAAAGAAAGUACUAAUGCUCUUCAGUAAAAUAUACAAAACUACAGACAAUGGCAGUGCCUUAUUUUGUAAAGUAUAUAGCUAUGAGCCUUUGCUACUCCUUGCUGACAUUUGGAAUUUAACUGAAGUGUCUUGUUAAAAAACAUUUAUGGAAAUAAAAAGAAUAUCUUUCCUUUUUAGGGAUAUAAA
rnacentral:lncRNA from 1 species